rnacentral:rRNA from 1 species
GUAGGGAAUAUUGGACAAUGGGGGCAACCCUGAUCCAGCGACGCCGCGUGAGUGAUGAAGGCCUUCGGGUCGUAAAGCUCUGUUGCAGGGGAAGAACACAAUGACGGUACCCUGCUAGAAAGGAUCGGCUAACUUCGUGCCAGCAGCCGCGGUAAGACGAGGGAUCCUAGCGUUGUUCGGAAUUAUUGGGCGUAAAGCGGGUGCAGGUGGCUUGGUAAGUCAGAUGUGAAAGCCUGGGGCUUAACCCCAGAAGUGCAUUUGAUACUGCUGAGCUUGAGUGCUGGAGAGGCUAUUAGAAUUCCUGGUGUAGUGGUGAAAUACGUAGAUAUCAGGAGGAAUACCGGAGGCGAAGGCGGAUAGCUGGCCAGACACUGACACUCAGACCCGAAAGCGUGGGGAUCAAACAGGAUUAGAAACCCCGGUAGUCC